GAUGAGGAUUAACUAUAAUUGAAAAUCAAAACUUGUUGUGAGCUUACAUGUUGAGAAAAGUACAAUCCCAAUGAAUAUCAAAGCUGUUUU
rfam:Capsella rubella cultivar Monte Gargano unplaced genomic scaffold scaffold_7, whole genome shotgun sequence.